UUCUGUGUCCCCACCCUUCUCUUUUCAACUUACUUGAGGUGUUCUCUUCCAAAUCUGUGAUUUUCAAUAUCUAUCCAUAUGCCAAUAAGUUAUGCCACUUUGUAAUUUCAGCCCAAAUCUCUUUUGAGGGCCAUUUCCUUGCUUUCUCCAUAUCUACAAUUACAUGCUUCAUAUUUCUGAAGCUCAGCAAGCCUAAAACUGAAUUUGUGAUCUUUAUUAUAAAAUUGAAGGGUAACUAUUGGGUAAUUUUAAGCACAGGAGUGAUGUGGUAUGAUUUAUUAUUUUCUAAAGCUCCCUCUAGCUGCUGGUUGGAGAAUGGCUAAUGGGACACGGUAACACAGAUGCAUGGAGGUCAUUUAGAAGACUAUAGAAGUACUUUCCUAAAAAGAUUGUGGUGGCUUGGACUAGGUGGUAUAUCAGUGGUUGGAAGUGGUUGAAUAUGAGAUGUAUUUUGAAAGUAGCAUUAAUAGGAUUUGCUAUGAGGUGUGAAGGAGAGAGAAGAAUCAAGAUGAUUGCUAACAAGGCUAGAUGCGGUGGUUGACGCCUGUAAUCCCAGCACUUUGGGAGGGAGGCCAAGGUGGGUGAAUCACUUGAGGUCAGGAGUUUGAGGCCAGCCUGGCCAACAUGGCGAAACCCCGUCUCUACUAAAAAUAAAAAAUCAGCUGGGCGUGGUGGCGCGUGCCAUUAGUCCCAGCUACUCGGGAGGCUGAGGCACAAGAAUUGCUUGAACCCAGGAGGCGGAGGUUGCAGUGAGUCAUGAUUGCACCACAGCACUCCAGUCUAGGUGACAGAGCGAGACUCUGAAAAAAAAAAAAAAAGACUCCUAAGUUUUUGUCUUGAGCAAUUGGAUAGAUGACAGUCUCAUCAAAUGUGAUGGAACAGAUCUGAAGCAGCAGGAUUGUAGGGGGCAAAUCAAGAGUGUUGUUUUGGCAGUGUUAAGCAUGAGCCACCACACCCGGCCUAUAUUUUUGUUUUGAAGAGUCGAAGCUAUCACGUAGGAAGGUUGGCACUUUGAAUAUAUAAAAAUUAAAACUCAAUGAAUAAAAGUUCAGACCAGUAAUAUAUUUAUAUGAAACUGGAGAGGCAUACAUUUAUUUAAAAAUUUAAGAAGUACAUUUGUGUUGGCGUCACACUGUUAUGUUGC
rnacentral:lncRNA from 1 species